CCUGACCUUUCCUUGUCCUGAUUUUCAGACAUGUUGCCGUAUUUUCAAGCAGUGUGCAGACCUCUGUUACUAACCACACAUUCAAACCCAGCGAAGGCGAGUGUGAAGCUCAGGGAUCCAGAAGUGCUGUUCUUCCCGUCAUGGCUGUUGCAGCAGAGCCAGCAUAUUAACUUACCUUUCGGUACUCACUAAUGUACCAGCUGCUUUGUGGGAGUUUCCAGUCACGGCGUAGAGGACACUGCACAGCUCAGUAGCCAUGGCUCUCUACGGUUUAGAACAUGUCUGCUCAACUAACAUCUAUCUUCCAGUGGAAAAGACAGUGGGCUCCACAGACUGAACAAAUGAAGACAUACCAUUAAUACAUUUCUGCUGCGUUCACACUGACACGACUAUACUGGACAUGGAUUGGACUUGGUGAAUUAUAUCGUUAAAACAUUUUCCUUUUUAAAAAUAUUAAGUUAAUAGGAUGGUUAAUUUCUUAUUGAAACAAUAGUUUUUAUAUAUUUUGAUCAUACUUUUCCCUUCUCCAAUCCUACCUCCUUCCCAGAUCUUCUCCUAUUUUAUUUUAUCAUUUUAUCUUUUAAGGCAGGCUCUUAGUGUAUAGAUCUGUUUGGCCUGGAACUUACUAUGUAGAUCAGGCUAGCCUCAAACUCAAUGGGAAUUCACCUGUCUUUGCCUCCUGAGUUCUGGGAUUAAAGGCUUGCCCUUCCACACCCAGACCUAAAAUUGCUUUGAUUCUUAUUAUUUUUUCCUGCACAUAAGUAGCACGGCUCACACUGGCUUGCCAAGGCCAGCAUCGUGUUUUCUACUGACACGUUGUUAAUGCAUAGAAGGCAUUCCUACAGGAGCUGUGAACUGGGGGAGAUGUUCACAGAAUCCCACCUAAUUAUGAAAGAGUUAAUGAUGUAUACUAGGAGGAGGGAGCUGCUGUGUUGUUUGAAAGAUGUGAAUCUAGGCAGAAAAUGUACCCAGGGUUUGAAGCUGGGGAGGACCUUGAAGGACAGAAAGGGACAGCAUUGGAUGGGUGGGUGCUGACUGGCUUCUCUGUUUCUGAGGGAGGCUGGGAGGCUGUGGGAAAGGUAUAGAAGGCCUUCUCAUGGGAACUAGGUGGCAGCUCUGGUGUCCUCAAGCCGCUAGGUCCAGCACUGAGGCUCGCUCCUUUCCUGUCUUGCGGAUCCUUUCUGAGGAAGAGACAGCUUUCCUGCAGAUCGUCUGUUGGGCCUGUGUGACCAGCAGGAACCCUUGUGACUUUUUUUCUCCCAGAACACUUAUCUGUUAUCUGCUUGUGGUGUGGGGGAAGGGCCUUCUGCAUUCGGGAUUGGCCCACUGCCUUUACUUAGAUGACAGGACUCUAGGGAAAUGCUUUAAAUAUAACACAUUCCCAGUUAUAGAAAUCUAUGCCCAAAAGUGGCCACAUGGACAGUACUUGGUGGCUGGAGAAAGAGAGAGCAGGCCGACGCUGUCUCUGAAUGUAAAGAGCCACUCUCCGGGCGGGCAUGCACGCCCUCUCGUUCUCCUUGUAGAUCUCCACAUGUGACCACUGUCAGUCUACUCUGCCGUAUUAUCAGCUGAAGCCAGAUGUCCUUUAGAAAAGGCUGUUACUAGCCGAGGCCUCCACGCUGAUGUUAGGAGCUGGCCUUUCUUAGGUCAUAACUGUAGAAGGUGCUAGACUCUGUGUCUGUGAAUUGAGUGUACGGGUGAGAAGCAUAAAGGUGGUCCAGAGACUCAGUGUAAGGCAGGCGGAUUUGAUUGUCUGCAGAAGCCGACACUUAGCGAAUGGCUUUGCUCUUACGCCCAGCCCCGUUCUAAGCACCUGAACUCUGUUAACCUAUUUAGGCCUCGUGACAGUCCUGCGAUGCUGAUGGCGAUGCUGAUGGUGUGGACCAAAAAACAAGUGACUUAGUUUUCUCUUUUUACCUUUAGUUCUAGGGUUCAAACUUGGGCUGCCAGGUUCCAUAGCAAGCACCUUUUCCUGAUGAGCCACACCCCACCAGCCCCGUUUUCCGACUUGUUUCUAGUUAGUCCACAGCAUUCAGAUAUCAAAGUUUGCCCCUGGAGGCUCAUUCUGUGGCUUGAUGUUCACCCAUUAAAAUUAAGGUCCCAUCUGCCCCCAUCCCCACCUGCUGUUUAAGGGACCUGAGGUAGGUCAAUAUUUAGACAUCGAUGCCAUUUAGCAAAACAGCAAUCUUCAAUGUAAUUUCCCUUCUCCCUUUCACUUAAGGAGAAAGAUUAAUUAUGUUUCUGUGAUGCUAAAUUAAGACGUGGGAAUGUGAAAGCCAGAUGCUCCAGAACUGCAGUGGCAAACCUGUUGGGCUCCAGUGGUCUAGAGUCUCUGGUGGAAGAGGGUGGUGUGAGCACAUUAGCUGAAACUUGUUUCUCAAAUAAGCUAGCUCUCUGCUGGGCGUGUGGUGGGGUGGGGUGGGGCAUGGUGUGGGGGCUGCUCCACUCUAGCUGCCAGCUGAUUUCGGGGACCUUGGAGCACCUAGACGCUUUCAUCGAGGUCAAGAUGAAAGGAGACCCAGAUAAGGUUGCCAGGGAAACAAAAAAUGCUACCGGAUCUCUCCCCGUUUGAGCUUAUAAAUGUGGCCUGAGGUUUGGGCAGCCUUUUUAAUGCAAAUGUUGGGAUGUGAAAAUGAGCAGUGCUCUUGUGCCAGGUCUUAAGGAAAUGGCUGUGGGCUUAAUGUAACGCCAGCUGCAGGCCUAAGGGUGGUGUAUUCUGUCCUUUGUAUGUGCAGAGCCCCCUGACAGAAGGGUUUCUUGGAGGUGGACUGGAGAGCGGCUGCUACCUCUCUGCCUGCGUCUCCACUUCCUGCUCAUCCCACAAACAUCUCUUCUGCAGUACUGGAAACUGAGCCCGGGACUCACACAUGCCAGGCUCUACCUGAGCCUCCCCUCCCCCUUCUUUUGGAACUUGACCUUGCUAAGUUGAUCUGGGCCCAGGUUGGUCUUGAGCUUGCUUCUCCUCUUGCCUCAGCCUUUCCAGUAGCACCACUGGGUCUAGCCAUGCUUGUCAGUUAUGACCUGUUCUCUGAUUUCAAAGUUAAACAGAUCUGCCAUUACAAAUUCCCAAAGACACAAAACAAUUACUCUUGUGUUGUUUAAAAAAACAGUUCAUUUUCCUGUAGUUUUCACUAUCUGGAACCAUGACUUGGAUUUCCCCCUAUAUUUAUAUACAAACAUGUACACAGCUAAAUUUAGUUGCAUGAGUUCAUACUAUUUUAAGAAUAGCCACCUGAUUCUCACAGUUAAGGGUAAAAAUUGUAGCCUUUACGUUUUUAGUUUUUUUUUUUUUUUUAAAACAUGGCUAUGUGAAAGUUGGCCAGGCUGGCCUUGAACUUACAGCCUUCCGGUCUCAGCCUCUGGAGAGGUGGAAUUUUAAAUGAUUGGGCUGUGAAUAGUUUUCUGUGGCUGACUUCCAGGAAUGUGAUGAUUGCUCAGCCGCUCUCCACUCUUGGCUAUUGCUUCUUUUUAGGGCACAGUAGUAUUCCUCCUGGGCAGGAUCAAUUCCUCAGGUGGCAUUUAAGUAGGAGACGCAGCACUUUAAGGGCUGUAGCUCCCUAGGGCCAGAUACCCUCCUACCAAGAGGAGGGGGUGUCUCAUCAACACUAGGUGUUAAACUUUUUCUUUUCACUCUGCCAUAUUUAUAACUCAAAAGUAUGUCCCCUCCUUCUCCCUCCCACCCCAGUAGAGAAGAUUAGCAAGAGCAGCUCCUGUGGUUGAAGAGUUACCGUCUGUAGGAUAUAUAAAUCUCCUAAAUAUCUCUCGGCCUCACUGAAACUGGAUCCUGUGCUCCCAUUCACCAGAUGAAGAAACAGAGGCUUUGAGGAAGUAAAGUCAUGAUUGACUAUUUUCAUACGGUUUUUAAAGAACACCCAAGACCCUAAGAUUGGGAGGAUCACUAGUUUAAGGCCAGCCUUGGCUACAUAGGCUAACCCAGGCUUCAUGUCUCUUUGUCUCAAACAAACAAACAAACAAACAAACAAACAAAUCUGGAUAGAAAUGAGGCUAUCUUAAGUGAUGCAUGGUUUCAAAUGGUAGGGACAGAGGGUUUGUCACCAGCUGGUGGCUUAACCAUUUGAAGGUUGGUUGGACUGAAUGUGCACUUUUGGAAGGAAGAUGGGAAUUGUGACCAAACUGGGUUGUCUGGCUACUCUGUUUAAGAAGAUGGCUUCUCUAUGUGGAAUAUCCUCUGCUCCUUUAGACCUGGGUGCAUCUUCUUAGCACGUCUUGGCUUUUCAGGAGUGAAAGCUGUGUCUGCAAAUGUGCCAGGAGAAACCAAAUGUGCUCACGUGCACCCGGCUCCAGGUGUGCCUUCUGGCCUACUCAGCCCUGUCACCUCCACACAGGCAUGCAUUCUGAACCCGCCUCAGUUCAACACUUGCGCUUGCCAGACUGCAGUGGCUUUCCUCUUACCUCUCUGUGACUUGUUUAUUGAAAACUGAAGGUAAAGAUCUUAUCUUCCCGCUGGAUUUAGUUCCCAGUUUUCUGUGUAUCCUAAGAAAGAAUGCACACUUGCAUCCUCAUUUUCAGGGACUACAGGAAGGAGGAGGGGGAAGGAUUUCCCUACCAAGGAGCCAGUAGUUUUGUUUAAAGCCUGAGCUGGUGCUUGCUAAGUUCUCUGCUUGUUUCCCUUUUUUGUGUUCAUUUUGGUCUCUCUGGGCUCCUUGGCGUAACUAGAGUUCAUUCAUCUUUGGGGGAGGAAAACGCACUAAGAAUUCUCGACUCAUUUUUGGAGGCCAUUUGAGCCAAAUAAGUUACUUGACUGAAGGAUUCAUUUCUGCUACAUCAUUAGUCUUUCUGUCGAUCUAAAAAAAAUCCAUCCAUUCAUCCAUCUAGACCUAUCAACACGCAGAAAGCUCAGGUAAUGGAAACCCGGUGUGGUCCUGGUGGGGACAGAGUGACAUAGUUCCUGCCUUUGGGGCAGCUUCCUUCCUACCCCCAACCCCCUGCCAUGGGAGCCUCCGAGAGUGUUGAGAGUGUUGAUGGCUGCUGUGGGUGUAAGGCUUCUUUGUGUAAUAAUGUACACAUUUUCACAUUCCUCCAAGGAAUGUCCUUAUUAACAUCAAUGACUCCACGAGAAUUAAAGACAGCAGGAGUCAGGAGGCAAAGGUGUGACCAGUGUCUCAGCAAAACGGUAAAUGCUGGGACCCCCCAGGACAGCCCUUAAGGCUGUGGGAAAGAGCUCUAAAUACAUGAGUUCAAAAUAUAUAUAAUUUCUCAACCAUGCAAAAUGACUUCCUGUCCAUUGAAUGGGCUCCAUGUGUGAAGACCUGGGCCGUGUACUUUCUGUACAUUUUAAUCUGAUUCUUGGGCCAUUUUACCUUACUAUUGUUGUCAAAAGAAUCAGGAUCUUGGGACUUGAGAGGGCUGUGGUGAUUUCAGUGGUAUUCGUUGUUUCUCAGUCCUUUUGUCCUGCUUGCUUUCUGGUGGACAAACCUGCUCCUUUCCCAGAAGGCUUACAGGUGGGGAGGUGGGAGGAGGGUGAAUUACUCUCAAUUGCUCUACUGGGGCUGCUGACCAAAGUAACUGCCCCUGUCAGGUAGAGAGGUCUGCUUGAGCCAUAAAGGGGCUCUCUGUCUCCACCCUCUGCUAGGUCUGCUACCACAGGUGAAUUCUGCUGCCUACUGGUCAGCUGUAGUCCUUCUCAGCUUGUUUCAAUGGAUGAACUUCCUUGGGUGAUUAUGUUCUAUGAAACACUGCAUGAAGCGGUAGGAGGCACUGAAUGUCAAGUGAUGUUUUCUGAAAGCUCAAUUACAGUUUAUAGAGACUUGAAAACAGCAUGUUCUAAAAAGCCAGUUGCUUUAGGUGUGGCCGAGGCUUGGUAUAAACAACUGGGGAGCUGGUGGAUCACCACCUGGAGAGAGCCUCCCAGAAGGAACUGGACAUUGACCUUGUGGGGUGGGGUUUCACCCAGAAAGAUCCCAGAGCUUAAGUCGAAGACCCAAAUUCAAGAGAAGGUUUUGCACCAUAGUUUACAUGUCUUCGAGUUGAAUGGUUGUGCUAAGGUUAACUGUCAAAGAUUUUUAAUUUAAAAUGAAUUGUUUAAGGUGCAUAGAUAACAUUUUGAGUCCUUCUGGGUUUGGGUUGAAAUCACACACCGGACGGGUGGUUUUCUGUUGAGCUAGAAGGGAGCCAGUCUCAACUCAGCUGUUGAAUGGGGGUGGUUGGGUGGGGUGGUGACUAAGAAUCAGCUUAUGAUCAAGGAAGCUGGGGUUCCGUGUGCCUGCCCUUGAGCUGCCUCCCAGCUGUGAGGCCCAAGUGAGAAUGAAGUGUGUGCAGCAGCCAUGGGUGAACCAGUGCACGCAAAUGUCAGCACAGCUCCAUGGAGUAAACUAGUGGACUCAAAUGGACUUAAAACCAAACAACCACAAUUCAGCCUAAGAUGGUUCAGCUGUUACAAGCAUUGACUGCUCUUGCAGAGGAUUCUGGUUUAAUUCUAGCACUCACAUAGUGGCUAACUAACAAUCAUCUGUAAUCCAGACUCAGGGGACCUGACACCCCCUUCUAGCCUCUGCAGGCACUGCACAGUCAUACAUGUGUGCAAAAGACCCACAUGCAUUGAAUAAAAAUCUCAAAAAAAAGAAAAACCAAUUAAAAAUUCACAUUUGCAUUGCGUGCCAGGGCACCUGUGUAGCAGGCACACGGUCAGGUGUUCGUGUGGGUGAGGAGACCAAAAGUCAGUCUUAGGUACCUCAGGAAUAGUUCACCUUGCUUUCUGGGAGACAUUUCUCUUAGACCUGGGGUUCACCAGGUCAGCUAGGCUGACCAGCCAGGGAUCCUCCUGGUGUUGCUUUCCAGCACUGAUGACACAAGCACAUGCCUGACUUUUAAAAACUGUGCGUGUUGGGGAUCAAACUUGGGUCCUUAUGCUUGUGUGGCAAGCACUGAAUCAUCUCCCCAGGACAGAAGGCACCCGGUUAUGAAGUUGGAUGCUCAAUAAAUGCCAGCCAGUUGUCCUUGCCUUAUUAUGUUGGUCUGUUGUUACAUUGUUUUGUUUUAAGAUUUGUUUAUUUCAUUUACAUGAGUGCACUGUAUUACUGUCUUCAGACACACCAGAAGAGGGCAUUGGAUCUCAUUACAGAUGGUUGUGAGCCACCAUGUGGUUGCUGGGAAUUGAACUCAGGACCUCUGGAAGAGCACUCAGUGCUCUUAACCGCUGGGCCAUCUCUCCAUCCCCUGUUACAUUAAAAAACCAUUAGGUGUUUUCAUUUUGGGGACAAGAAACAGCAAAAGUGAGUAAAUCCAUCCAUCCAUCCAGCCAGCCAGCCAGCCAGCCACCCACCCACCCAGCCACCCACCCACAAUCAGUCAGGUCAGUGGGAUGGCUCAGACAUUAAAGGUGCUAGCCACCAAGACUGCUGGCCUGAACUAAGUCGGUGAGACACACAGUAAGAGAGAACAGACUACGUCCAGAUGUGUGCAAACACACAUGCGCGCACACACAUGUACAUCAGGUCGGAUUUUCAAGAUCCAAGUGCAUAAAUAGACACUAGCACACAGAACAUGUGCAAAAGGAAUGUAAGCAAAUUGAUACAGCAGAGUAUUUGACGGCAUAUGUUCCUAGAGCACUUCCCUGUGAGCCGGUUGACACAUUAUUACACACUGUUACACCUUUAUUAAGGCAGGUAUUCCGAGACCUGCCUGGGGCCGAUUCCCUUUAAACCAGGCUCCUUAGUAUUUAUGCAUUUAAAAUAUAGAAGGGCUUUGUGUGUGCAUGUGUGUGCCCUGCCCGCUGUGUAUGAGUGUGUGUGUGUGUGUGUGUGUGUGUGUGUGUGUCUGUAAAACGUUUAGUAAAUACUUGAAAGUUCACCACAUCCUUUUGUUCAAUUCAAAUUAACCUUCCCGGUUAAUUAAAAUAUUUUACCUCAUGGGGACUGAAUCCUGUGCAUUUCCAAAAUGACAUUUCCCAUUUGUUUACCUUGCAAUGUUAGAUUGGUAAUGACUAGCGAUUAGGAGAAUCCGCCUGCCUUCCUUGCUUGUAGUUCCUGGGGCCUCUGGGUUCUGUCCCCUGCAGUGGCAUGACCAUUGACUGGGAUGGAGGCUCCUCAGAGGACCCUCAGGUUAUUAACUGAGCUGCAUGGAGGAGCUCCAUUGGCUUCACGCUUGGAUGGUGGUAAUGAGCUCUGAGGCCCCUGCUUGUUCUUUUAGAGCUCCAGGGAAUCGAGUGGCCUGGAAGGAGCUAUGAGGGAAGCGGGUGUCUGCCGCCCCACCCAGCCCCCUCCCAGCACAUGUCUCUUGGCCAUUGGACCUGAGGGUGUGGCUCUCCACUGUGGAGGGAGAUUGGGAAACAGAUGCCUCUUCCUGCUUCAGAUGUAACUUUUCCUGUGCCAAGCUUAUUUUUCUUAGGGGUUGGGGAUUCCUUUGAAGCUCCACUCAGCAUUAUUAAUUCAGAAGUAGGGUGGGUGUUGGUGGCAUUUGUGAGGCUCGUCUGGGCAUUUGCCUUCCUUGGUGGAAGAAAGGGCUCUUCGACCUCCAACUAGCAAGGUCACAACCUGAAGCCUUUGUCAUCCACAAAUCUGAAACAUUAUUGGUUCUCUCUGGUAUGGGUAGUGACUACCAAACGUAUUUAUUUAUGAGAUUUCUGCCAGGGCCUUCUUUCUCCAGCUUAAAGGACACCAUCAGCAACGUCCUGCUAUUCUGAUCUGAGAAAGCGUGGGGAUUGCAGAGCCUUAUGGAAAGGGAGAGACCCCUGCCUGUACCAACUUUAGAGUUUCUGGAGCUCUCUCUCUCCUAGUCCCCUAUUCACAGCCAGAAUGUGUCUGCCUCCCUUAAACCCUGGGCUCCAGCCGCCUCCCUCAUUUACCUUUGGUGAGUGCAUCCAGAAGACCACAAGUGUGAUUGCAGGCUCAGCCUCAGUUAUCUCCUGCUCCCAGGGCAGCCCUCAUGCUUGGGUUUAUAGUCUGCACAGAAUGCAAGAAAGGCAAGUGUGUAUUCAUCCAUCCCACUUGUGGGCAAGGCAGGCCGCUACUCCUGGGGAGCUGGUCUCUCCUGUGCAUAAUAGACCCCCCAGAAGCGUGCCGCCCUGGCUGAGACUCUAGUGUGCCAUUAUCUCCUCCCUUCCAGGGUGUGGAGGGAGGCGACUGGCCACCUGUUUCCCUUGGCAGCUGGGCUAAGGCCAAGGCUUUGCAAGUGAUCCACGCCCCGCCCGCCUGCAUUUCUGCAAAUGUUCACUGUUCAGAUGACAGAUGGUGAGCCCACCCCCAGCUGCCCUCAUAGUCCCCUUCCUUCCUCCUCCUUCUCAGGGUUCAUCCCACCCCUACCCUGGUCAGCUUUCUCACUGACUCCUCCCUCCACAUGGGAAGUGACUCUGCAUGUUCUUUAAGGCCACUGCUGAAGCUUCCCUUGACCCCACCUCCUCUUUCUAAUCACAGACCCAUCUCCCUCUUAAUUAACACUUAAGUUCUUUGAAAGACAGUGCAGCCUUGGCCUGACCUCUGUUUUGAAGGGGAGGACACCUCUUUGGAAGAAAGUCAAAUAUAGCUGGUCCCAGCCCACUCCUCUCUUCCCUAGGCAGGGAGCAGAUUUCCUGGUGUUCUAACUCCCAGAAUGGUUGGGGUGAGAAUCACCAACAUGUGGGAGGUGAGGCGAAGGGCACGGGGGAGAGUUAAUUCUUCCGUCUGCUGUUUUCAUGGGUGCUGCUCAGUUCCUAUUGCACUCAUAUCCCUGAAAGGCAAAGGCGGGGUCACCCAGAGAGGCUGUCUGCAUCUGCUCAAGGCAAGUGCUGACAUUGCAUUCCUUUGCAGAGGUUUGAGGCCAUUGUGCAAGGUUAUGUUGAGGCAAAUAACCUGUUGGCCAUCCCUGGCCAACAGCAGUGGGCCUUCAGGUGUUUUCUCAAGUUUGUAAAGGAACUUUACAACUUUGAGAUGGUGUCUGUGGAGGCAAGAGAACCAGGAGUUCAAGGCCACCCUCCCUUACAUAGUGCCUUUGGGUCAGCCCUGCUGAGGCUUUGCCUGGGCGGCUGGUUCUGUUUCCUCAGUGGAAUCAUGAAGCCACAAUGCCCACAGCUAAGGGACAGCCAGGCUUGCAGGCAAAGAAAGCCUCGUUUGUUACAGUUGUCAGAAAGCUCCUGUUGUGUUCUCUAUGCUUUGAAAACUUUUGUGGAUAAAUUCUCUCCUCGAAUGACUGUCAUUAUAUUUUCCGAGUAUAUAGAUAAUCAAAACAUGCCUAGGAAAGACGGUGUAGCUGUUCAGAGUGUGAGCUGUACUUUCAGAGGACCUGGGGUCCCUUCCCCUCACAGGGCCUCACAUUGGCAGCUCAGAACCACUGGCGAGUAUAGUUUCAUAGAAUCUGACACCCUCCUCUGACCUCCUCAGAGACUGCAUGCACAUUGUAUGCAUGUGCACACACAGCACACAUGCACACAUACACACACACACACACACACACGCUUAUACACACUACACACACAUACACACACACAUAGACACACCACACACAUAGACACACACAAUACAAUACACACACACACACACACACACACACACACACACACACACACUUUUGCCUGGAGCCUGAGUUGGGUGGUAAGCCUCUUUUUUGCUUUUGUAUCAUGUAGCUCAGUCUUAGAGACCCUUUGUGGACUCUCGGUGCCUGUUUCAGGCCCAGGAGGGACUCCUGAGAAAGAUAACCCUUCCCUCUGUUUUGUUUAGCAGCCAGUUAGCAAGAUGUUAGCAUCCUAAUGAAAUUAGAAGCCACGGAGCCAUAAAAUAAGGUGUUUCCAUGGAGAAGCAGAACACUUGUAUCAGAGACAGUCAGAAUGGAGGGCACUCUGUUGGUCUCCUUAGCCUCCAGCCAGUGGUGAUGAGAAGAUCACAUUAUAAUUAGAAUAGGUGACUGCUGUCAAGGCUUUCAUUGUCCUGGGUGAGGUGUAGGAACUGACCCAUUGAGGCGUGUGGCUGGGCUACCUUAAUUGUGACAAGUCCCCCCUACACAUACAUACACAAUAUAUAGCCAACUUUGAUGCCAGAGGCACGGGACCAUGCUGUCCAUGGCGCUGUGGCCAAAUGCCAAAGUGCCACCUGACAAGUGGGUCACACCAGCAGGCUGUGCGUGCAGUGUUCACGAAGGUUUAUUUUCCAGCUUGUCUCCAGCUUCCUCCUUUUCGUCCAGUUUGUUUUCUCUGACAUGAUGUUCUCCUGUGUCUUCUCAGUCACAAAGUGAGGUUUACUUAUGGGAGGAAAGGAGAGGAAGGAGCCGUGUUCCGAGGAGGGUCGGUAAGGGGAUGCGCAGGCCUUGACGCACCAGGCUUUGGGGGAGGCGUUGGGCUUUGACCCCCCAGAAAAUUGUAGCAGAGGAGGCGAGGUGGAGAGUGGGGGGGGGGCACAAAAGCCGUUCACUAGGAAUCUUUUUUUUUUUUUUUUUGGUUCUUUUUUUUCGGAGCUGGGGACCGAACCCAGGGCCUUGCGCUUCCUAGGCAAGCGCUCUACCACUGAGCUAAAUCCCCAACCCCCACUAGGAAUCUUUAAGAUCAGCUCUCUCUUUUUUUUGAAGUCAGAACAUUGAACAAUUUCUCCAACUUUAACAUGCAUAGGAAUUUCAUGAGAUUUUGUCAAAUUCAGAGCCAGGAAUCUUUAAGUGGGGCCCCAGAUGGUGUGAUUUUGGCUCCUUAAUUGUGAGGGUCACAACUUUUUAGGUGCCCCCCCCCCACAAGGAUUUUGUUGUUUGCUUUCACUUUUUUUAAGGCAAUAGGAGGAGUAAAAAUAUUUAGGUUAAGAAACUUGAAGGGCUGCUGCUCCAGUCAUAAAAGGGCCUGGUGGCUCUCACCUUCCAGUUGUCAGGAUAGCAGAACCCCUGUGUGUCCAUGGUAACCGAUGGAUCGAUGAAGUUCUCGUCAAUCCGUAAAUCUCUGUGGUGGGAUUUUCGGGGACAGAGAAAGGAGGUGCUGAGAAUCAGGGAGAGUUGGUAUUUCUCCCUAGUUUUGAAUAAGGUCAGAUUUCUACUUUCUUACUGGAGCUUCCUGCAGAAAUGAAUUGUUUGUUCACUUGUCAUGCUGAUGGAUUUUCACCACCACGGGUCUGGUGGAUCUGGCGAGUCUGGACCAGGGUAAACAGGUCUGGAGCACAGCUUGAAGUGUGAAUGAGAUAUUUGCAUAGAUUACCUUCAGAAGCCAACUCCACCCACUCCAUCGGUAUAGACAACCCUAGACCUGUCAGGGAAUCCCUUCUACAACCAUCUAAAGACAUUUAAACAGCAUCAACACUGUUUUAGAAAGCAUUUGUUGUGACAUAUUUUUGCCUCCUGAAGUGAACUGAAGUUUCCUUUCUAGAAAUAGGAACUAAAGCCAAGUCUUGGACCUACUUGGGUGGCAAAACCAUUUCAGGCUGAUCAAGGUCAGAAAAAGGGUUUGAUUAUGAAGAGGAGGUGGUGGGCUUACUUUUCUUAGGUUACUGAGAGAGAUAAACUCUGAAUGCUGUUAUUGUUGGGGGCGGGGAGCAGGGUCUCUAGACCAGGCAGGUUUUGACCUCCCUGUGUAGUGGGGGGGGAUAACCUUGAGCUUCUGGUCCUCCUGUCUCCCUCUCCCAAGCACUGGGAUGUAGGCAUGCACUUGUGCACCUGGUUUCGGGCCUGGCCGUGCGGUGCUAGAGAAUGAACCCCGUAAGCUAGGCAAGCAAGCUACCGACUGGGCCGUGUCCCCAGCAUCCUGAACAUUGCCAUUAAGGUCCCAACGAUAUGGGAACUAACAGGUCAGCAGCAUAGACAGCUUUUCCUUUCAUGUUUUCCAUCCACGCUUGGCGGGACACACGGGAGAUGAACCAGAGCUUCCCAAAGGUUUUGGCCAUCAGCAAGAAUACGAGGACAGUAAUACAAAAGUCUAGAGAAGCCAUCGGCAGAAGAAGUCUGCAGUUCGAGGGACUCAGACUUGGAAGAUUGCUGGUAUUUUACUGAAAGUCUUCUGGGGGUGUUUCUGAGUGCUUUUUCUCUCCCAGUAGAUAGAGGCAGAUGCUGCCAGAUCUGUGAGGAUGGAAGGACUCAGUUCAGUUGUCUCCUCCUGCAAAUGAAGCUGUUAAACCAGGGAAAAGACUGGUUGGUCGUUAAUGUAUGUGUCUUAAAAAGCAGGAUCAAAGUGCCGGAGAAGCAGCUCAGCUGUCCCGGUAGAGGACCUGGUUCUGCUCCCAGCACGGGUAACUUCAAUUCCAGGAUCCCAUGCCCUCCGUCCUUUGAGGAUACCAGACAUACACCUGGUACACAUACAUACUCUUAGGCACAUACACAAACAUAAAAUACGUAAACGGAUCUUUAAAAAAAAAAGCAUUGCUUAUUACCUUUUCCCUUGUUCUGGCUGUUUUUAUUAAAUGCUUUUAAUAAAACAAACCAAACAAAACCCCACAGCCACAGCGUGUUCCAAGACGCGGUCCCGAUGUCCCAGUAACUUCAGCUCCAGCUCUGGCCUCAUUGCUGGGCCGUGGAGGGAGUCAUAGUCUUACCCUGACACGAUGAGACAAGGUCCCUGGGGGAAGCUGGCAGGGGACCCAUGCUGAAAAUGGCCCUGGUUGUGGAUAGGUGGGCGCUGGUAGACCGAGGGCUUUCAUGACAAGAGCCUGGACAGUGGCUUCAGGAUAAAGAGAAGCCAAGAAAGGCAUCUUGAUAGACACACUUAGCUUGGGAUGAGGCGGAGGGUGGAGUUAGUUGACCACAGCUUGAGGUCAGGUGUGCUGUGGGACUGUCAUCCAAGUCUGGGGGCGUAAGAGCAGCAAGGCCAGUAGGGGGGAUGCCGUGCCAGCAGGAUCUGAUCUGGCCGCUGCACUGGUACCGGGGGCUUCUGCACGCCUGGCCAGGUCCGUGCUCUUCAGGUCUGGCAGAGCCCUGGGAUGAAAACAGCUUUCUGUGUUUGCUGACUCUGGAGAGGAAAGGACAUUUUGUGUCAGUGGAGAGACAGUCUGGUCAAGGGAGUAACCUUUGGUCUUAGCUGUCCUCAGGGACACCAAGCCUGCCUGGAAUCUAGGUCUGGAAGACCUUCUGUGGCUCCCCUCGAAGCUUACUUCUUGCCUUUGACCUCAGUUCGGGGUGCAUGCGCAUGCAUGUGUGUUUUAGAAGCAAGGGUAAGACCUUGGAGCGUGGGCUGGGGUUAUGGCUUCGGCUGAUGAAAUGUUUACACUCUACCCUUAGUCAUUAUUUUGUUUUUUCUUACUCAACUGUACUUUUGGCUCUAGGCAUGGGUUAGGAGCUUAGCUUCAGUGGUUCUGCUUGAUUCGGGAGCACGUUGGUGGGCAGCUGAGUGUUACAACACACCAAGCGAGUGUUCUAGAACACCAGAGCCAGAGGUUCCCAGGAUUAUGAAAGAAGCGAGAGGUGGGAAUUGGCACUUGUUUCUGGCUCGGAGAGCUGACAGUCACGUCUCCUGCACUACCCUUUUCUAUUGGAUCUCAUGCUUGGUAUGCAUCACCUUAUGUCCUUUCUACACCUUGUAACCAGGAACUGCGAGGGCUGAGGCCACCUGACUACCUGGAGUCACAUAGCAAGGACGCUGUGUUCUUGCUGGGCCUGGGUCCAGAGUGUUCCAAAGCCUGUGUGUGUUCUUGGUACAGCACUGGUUCCAUUCCAAGUGCCUGUGGGUGCCCUGGGUCUUGUUAAAACUCCAUAAGGCAGAGGUUUGGGGGCUCAUUCCUGCCUUGCUGGGGCCCCGUUUCCCUGACAUGCGGGGUUUGUUCCAUCUGAUAGAUGGUUCUCUCUCUCCAGGUUCCCCAAUCCAAGGGCAUCCUUGUUGUAUAGCUCACCCUGUCCUUCCUCAGAGUUGCUGUGAGGAGAAGAUGGAUGAGGCUGAGAAAACAUCAGUGGCUUCUCCUCUGAUCCUCUCUGACAUCAUCCUCUCUCCUCUCCCUGCCCUUCCUUCUCCUGAAGGGAUUCCAAUUCUUUCCCUAUUUCUGCACCAACACCACCUCAAUUUAGUUCCCACAUGGUUGGCAGCAGGAGGAACAGGCCAGGCCCAAAGUAAUCUCUCGAUGACUCUGCUGACAGAUGGCUUAUCAAGAGGACAGCGGCCCUCAUUUAAGGCCACCACCUCAGGUCAGUUAGAUUGGAGUCUGCAGGGCCCACAGCCCUUUUGGAACGAAGGCUCAUACAGGUCACUUCUGACAGUGACCUCUCUGGGGAGGUGGGAGGUGGCUUCCUGCCCCCACUAUUAUUUCUGGGACAAUUAUCAAUGUGUGUGAGAAGUCUGGAACCUUUUAAAGAGAGGACUCUUAUUCCAGGACACAGAUGAAGCCCUGAGGCAGAACUGACUGAGCGGGGCCUGGCCCACGUAGCUUGGCCUUCCCUUCUGUCUAUCCUUACUGACUCCCUACCCUGAAGGGUGAGUCAGCAGCUCCUGGGCAGUAGGCUCUGCUUAGGACUUCGUGAUGCAUGUAACGUGCAUUUAAAGGAUCACAAUUAGAGCAAUGAGUACUAAUUAAUAAGGUGAUUUCAUAUGGGAAGACCCCCUGCUCCUCUGGGGUUCAAGGGAGGCUUUGCUUGUGGUGUCUAGGGGAACAAAACAACAAUUUGCUUUCUAGUCAGGUGAAGAUAGGGCCAUGUGUUGACUACCUGCCCAGUCAGCCUCCCACAGGCCCGGAAGCUACUCACUUGGGGGCGCUCACAUGCCUCUAUGAUUGGUGACUUGGAUGAGAGGCAUCUGCUAGAGCCGCAGCCACAGUGGAUGGUCACGUCUUAGGCUACAGUGUUAGAUAUCCAUGGAGCUCAGUAUCCUGCUCUGUAAUUUCAUAGCUGUGAGCUGUAAAUGACUUAGUCUUGAGUCACGGUUCUGUUUAUAUGUAAUGUAAGCACACCAGUGCUUAUUCACGCGGUCCUUAGAAGAAUGAGAGGAAUAGCCAUGCAUGCAGUUCUGCAGCCUGCUCACUGUUGCAUGCAUGGCCUCAGGAUGUGUAUAGAAAAGGGUUGUUGGUUGGGUUGUCAUUGUGUGAGCAUUAGGGUGUACUUACACAAAAUAAGGUGGCUAUGGUGUUCCUAGGUGGCAACAUUUUAUGAGAUCACCAUCCUGUCAUUGACCUAAUUAUCACCCCGAGGCCCAGGAUUGUAUAUGUGAGCUUGAUUUAUUAGCUCAUUUCCUUCCUCGCCCCACGACCCUCUUGAGGAAUAAAACAAGAAGACCCCUUCCAUUCCCACCAAGACACAUAGAAACCAUAGAAAAGUACUGAACUAUAUACUUUUUCACACACACACACACACACACACACACACACACACACACACACACACACCCUACAUACAUACAUACCUA